rnacentral:rRNA from 1 species
CGUAGGAGGCUAGUGUUAGUUAUCUUUAUUGGGUUUAAAGGGUAAGUAGACGGUAAAUUAACUCUAAAGAGUACUUUUUACUAGAGUUAUAUGAGAGAAGGAAGAAUUCCUGGAGUAGAGAUAGAAUACGUUAAUACCAGGAGGACUGUCAACGGCGAAGGCGUCCUUCUAUGUAAUAACUGACGUUGAGAGACGAAGGCUUGGGUAGCAAAUAGGAUU